GAGGACUUGGAGGACAUCGGGCGGUCACCUGAGGUCAGCCCAUCCUGGGAGCUCACCUCAGGUCAUCGGGAGGUCACCUGAGGUCAGUCUACUGGGAGCUCACCGAGGGUUAUUGGGAGGUCACCUGAGGUCAUCGGGAGGUCACCUGAGGCCAUCGGGAGGAAAUUGCUGGUUCACCGAAGGUCAGUCGUGCGGGAGGAGAUACGGAGGUCACUCUGUCAUCGGUGUCCGGGGUACUGCACCACUGAUAUAGUGAGUUCUGAUGCUGAUUUGUGGCGGUUUUGCGUCCUCGUCUGUGUUCUAGGUUCUAUAGAACUAACAUAACUGUUACCUUCUUGUGUGUUUUGGCAGUGCCAGUCUCAUUGGCAGAAACGAAGCACCGAGGGCUUGUGUUAAGUGGUGUUAAUUCUUACCUUUAUUGAAGGCAACACUUGCUGUGCUAAUGUUCGCCUGGUGUGCCCACCGUCGUUGGACUUCCUUCCUCCGCGUCUCAGCAUUCCUCAGCAGGUCGUAUGGUUGUUCUGUUCUGGCUGGCGUAGUUUGAUUUUAAAGUUGUCUCGUUCUGGUUUCGUUUUGCCCUCCGAAGCCCUAAACACCUCCUGUUCCCGCGUCCUCGGUCCAGGCCUGAAGUGUCUUGGGGCUCUUGAAAUUGCCGCUACCUAAAUUGUUUAUCGGA